GCGGGUGUAGUUCAGUGGUAGAACAAUAGCUUCCCAAGCUAUGUGUCGCGAGUUCGAGUCUCGUCACCCGCUCCA
rnacentral:tRNA from 2 species